UACGAAGGGGGCUAGCGUUGUUCGGAUUUACUGGGCGUAAAGCGCACGUAGGCGGGUCGUUAAGUCAGGGGUGAAAUCCCGGAGCUCAACUCCGGAACUGCCUUUGAUACUGGCGACCUUGAGGCUGGAAGAGGUUAGUGGAAUUCCCAGUGUAGAGGUGAAAUUCGUAGAUAUUGGGAAGAACACCAGGUGGCGAAAGGCGGCUAACUGGGUCCAGAUCUGACGCUGAGGU
rnacentral:rRNA from 1 species